rnacentral:lncRNA from 1 species
ACCCUCCCAAGGGCCGCUGGAGGGCCCUGUCUGCUCCUCUGGUACGUAGAUGCAUGGGCCCAGGUGGCUGCCAACAGACAGCAGCUGGGGACUGGAGUAGAAGUGGUGCCCUCAAGAAACAGGCCACACUCUCGCUCCAGCCAGCUCCCUGGCCUAAUUAGAGACCGGAACGGCAUUGAUCGUCCCUGAGCUCAUUAUGUCACAGCUGGGGAACAGCUGGCCAGUUUUUUCCAGGCCAUUAGCUGCGCCAUGAAGUGGAG